rnacentral:rRNA from 1 species
AGAGUUUGAUCCUGGCUCAGAUUGAACGCUGGCGGCAGGCCUAACACAUGCAAGUCGAGCGGUAGCACAGGGAGCUUGCUCCUGGGUGACGAGCGGCGGACGGGUGAGUAAUGUCUGGGAAACUGCCUGAUGGAGGGGGAUAACUACUGGAAACGGUAGCUAAUACCGCAUAACGUCUACGGACCAAAGUGGGGGACCUUCGGGCCUCAUGCCAUCAGAUGUGCCCAGAUGGGAUUAGCUAGUAGGUGGGGUAAUGGCUCACCUAGGCGACGAUCCCUAGCUGGUCUGAGAGGAUGACCAGCCACACUGGAACUGAGACACGGUCCAGACUCCUACGGGAGGCAGCAGUGGGGAAUAUUGCACAAUGGGCGCAAGCCUGAUGCAGCCAUGCCGCGUGUGUGAAGAAGGCCUUCGGGUUGUAAAGCACUUUCAGCGAGGAGGAAGGGUUCAGUGUUAAUAGCACUGUGCAUUGACGUUACUCGCAGAAGAAGCACCGGCUAACUCCGUGCCAGCAGCCGCGGUAAUACGGAGGGUGCAAGCGUUAAUCGGAAUUACUGGGCGUAAAGCGCACGCAUGCGGUUUGUUAAGUCAGAUGUGAAAUCCCCGCGCGUAACGUGGGAACUGCAUUUGAAACUGGCAAGCUAGACUCUUGUAGAGGGGCUUAGAAUUCCAG